AUUGAACGCUGGCGGAAUGCUUUACACAUGCAAGUCGAACGGCAGCACGGGAGCUUGCUCCUGGUGGCGAGUGGCGAACGGGUGAGUAAUGCGUCGGAACGUACCGAGUAAUGGGGGAUAACGCAGCGAAAGUUGUGCUAAUACCGCAUACGCCCUACGGGGGAAAGCAGGGGAUCGCAAGACCUUGCGUUAUUCGAGCGGCCGACGUCUGAUUAGCUAGUUGGUAGGGUAAAGGCCUACCAAGGCUUCGAUCAGUAGCGGGUCUGAGAGGAUGAUCCGCCACACUGGAACUGAGACACGGUCCAGACUCCUACGGGAGGCAGCAGUGGGGAAUUUUGGACAAUGGGCGCAAGCCUGAUCCAGCCAUUCCGCGUGAGUGAAGAAGGCCUUCGGGUUGUAAAGCUCUUUCGGCAGGAACGAAACGGUGAGUUCUAAUAAAGCUUGCUAAUGACGGUACCUGAAGAAGAAGCACCGGCUAACUACGUGCCAGCAGCCGCGGUAAUACGUAGGGUGCGAGCGUUAAUCGGAAUUACUGGGCGUAAAGCGUGCGCAGGCGGCUUUUUAAGCCAGAUGUGAAAUCCCCGGGCCUAACCUGGGAACUGCAUUUGGAACUGGAAGGCUAGAGUGCGGCAGAGGGGGGUAGAAUUCCACGUGUAGCAGUGAAAUGCGUAGAGAUGUGGAGGAAUACCGAUGGCGAAGGCAGCCCCCUGGGUCGACACUGACGCUCAUGCACGAAAGCGUGGGGAGCAAACA
rnacentral:rRNA from 1 species